AAAAAGUGCGGGUGCUAUACAUGCAAGUCGAGCGGACAGAUGGGAGCUUGCUCCCUGAUGUUAGCGGCGGACGGGUGAGUAACACGUGGGUAACCUGCCUGUAAGACUGGGAUAACUCCGGGAAACCGGGGCUAAUACCGGAUGGUUGUUUGAACCGCAUGGUUCAGACAUAAAAGGUGGCUUCGGCUACCACUUACAGAUGGACCCGCGGCGCAUUAGCUAGUUGGUGAGGUAACGGCUCACCAAGGCGACGAUGCGUAGCCGACCUGAGAGGGUGAUCGGCCACACUGGGACUGAGACACGGCCCAGACUCCUACGGGAGGCAGCAGUAGGGAAUCUUCCGCAAUGGACGAAAGUCUGACGGAGCAACGCCGCGUGAGUGAUGAAGGUUUUCGGAUCGUAAAGCUCUGUUGUUAGGGAAGAACAAGUGCCGUUCAAAUAGGGCGGCACCUUGACGGUACCUAACCAGAAAGCCACGGCUAACUACGUGCCAGCAGCCGCGGUAAUACGUAGGUGGCAAGCGUUGUCCGGAAUUAUUGGGCGUAAAGGGCUCGCAGGCGGUUUCUUAAGUCUGAUGUGAAAGCCCCCGGCUCAACCGGGGAGGGUCAUUGGAAACUGGGGAACUUGAGUGCAGAAGAGGAGAGUGGAAUUCCACGUGUAGCGGUGAAAUGCGUAGAGAUGUGGAGGAACACCAGUGGCGAAGGCGACUCUCUGGUCUGUAACUGACGCUGAGGAGCGAAAGCGUGGGGAGCGAACAGGAUUAGAUACCCUGGUAGUCCACGCCGUAAACGAUGAGUGCUAAGUGUUAGGGGUUUCCGCCCCUUAGUGCUGCAGCUAACGCAUUAAGCACUCCGCCUGGGGAGUACGGUCGCAAGACUGAAACUCAAAGGAAUUGACGGGGCCCGCACAAGCGGUGGAGCAUGUGGUUUAUUCGAAGCACGCGAGACCUUACCAGUCUUG
rnacentral:rRNA from 1 species